GAUGAACGCUGGCGGUAUGCCUUACACAUGCAAGUCGUACGGUAAUCAAAUUUAUUUGAUUUUAGUGGCGGACGGGUGAGUAACACGUGAGAAUUUGCCUUUAGGAGGGGGACAACAUCUCGAAAGAUUUGCUAAAACCCCAUAUGCCCUCGGGUGAAACAGAGUAAUCUGCGUAAAGAGAAGCUCGCGCCUGAUUAGCUAGUUGGUAGGGUAAGGGCCUACCAAGGCGACGAUCAGUAGCUGGUCUGAGAGGAUGAUCAGCCACACUCGAACUGAGACCGGGUGCAGAAUCCUACGGGAGGCAGAAGUGAGGAAUUUCCUGAAAUGGGCGAUAGCCUGACAGAGCAAUACCGCGUGAGGGAUGAAGGCUUAAUGAGUUGUAAACUUCUUUUUUCAAGGAAGAAGAUCUGACGUUACCUGAAGAACAAGCAUAGGCUAAGACCGUGCAAGCAGCCGCGGUAAUCC
rnacentral:rRNA from 1 species